rnacentral:lncRNA from 1 species
UACUCAAUUUAGACCCAACCCAUAUCAGAUCCGUACCUAGGGAUGUCACGGGUCGGAUUCAGAGUAAAUUUUCAAAAAACUAAAUCUAAACCUAACUACCAAACCCGAAACCGAAUCUAAACCCAAUCCGACGGAUUUUAAAAAUCUAUAUCCAAACACGACCACGUCCGAAUCUAAAUUCGUCGAGUUUUCGUUUUUUAUAUUCAUAUCCAAAACUAUAUCCAUUUAGAAUCGAAUAAAUUCGUUCUUUUCGGAUUUGGUUUCAGAUAAAAUUUUGAAUAUUCGUAAGUGUGGACAUCCUUAUCCAUACUUGAUCUUAUGUGGGCAAUCACUAUUCAGAUUCGUUCAAAUAGACCCAAUAGGUGCAU